AAGUCGUAACAAGGUUUCCGUAGGUGAACCUGCGGAAGGAUCAUUCUUGAUAUAUGUAGCUUAUGCUUCAUUUAAAAUGUGCACCGUUACUUCCAUUUGGCGGCUCAAAAGGUCGUCAGAUGUGUUAUACCAUUAUUUACCAAUAACUAAUUUGUACCUAUAAAACAAACUUAUAGACAACUUUUAGCAAUGGAUCUCUUGGCUCUC
rnacentral:misc_RNA from 1 species